GACGAACGCUGGCGGCGUGCUUAACACAUGCAAGUCGAACGAACAGGCCAGGCGUUUGUGGGGUGCUCGAGUGGCGAACAGGGGAGUAACACGUGAGUAAAAUGCCCUUAACAUUGGGGUAACAUCAGGGAACUGGGGCGCAUACCGGGUAGGAUCUACUGCUGCGUAUUGGGGAUUGGUGAGUGUCGGCGGUUGUGGAUGGAUUCGCUGGUUAUCAGCUUGUUGGUGAGGUAGUGGCUUACCAAGGCUUUGACGGGUAGCCGGCCUGAGAGGGUGACCGGGCACAAUGGGACUGAGAUAGGGAGCAGACUGCUACGGGACGCAGCAGGGGAGAAUAUGGCAGAACAGGCGGAAGCCAGAUGCAGCAAUGCCGCGUGCGGGAUGCUGGCCUUCGGGUUGUAAACCGAUUUCUCCGGUGAUGAGCAGUGCGUGACGGUAAUUGGUCAAGAAGCAACGGCUAACUACGUG
rnacentral:rRNA from 1 species